rnacentral:rRNA from 1 species
GACAGAGGGUGCAAACGUUGUUCGGAUUUACUGGGCGUAAAGCGCGUGUAGGCGGCUUUGCAAGUCGGAUGUGAAAUCCCACGGCUCAACCGUGGAAGUGCAUCCGAAACGGCAUGGCUGGAGUCCCGGAGAGGAAGGUGGAAUGCUUGGUGUAGAGGUGAAAUGCGUAGAUAUCAUUUGGAACGCCAAUGGUGAAAACAGGUAGCUGGGAGUGUGCUGACGCUGAGACACGAAAGCCAGGGGAGCAAACGGG